rnacentral:rRNA from 1 species
CUGCUCAGAUUGAACGCUGGCGGCAGGCCUAACACAUGCAAGUCGAGCGGCAGCACAAGUGAGUUUACUCAUGAGGUGGCGAGCGGCGGACGGGUGAGUAAUGCCUAGGGAUCUGCCCAGUCGAGGGGGAUAACAGUUGGAAACGACUGCUAAUACCGCAUACGCCCUACGGGGGAAAGAGGGGGACCUUCGGGCCUCUCGCGAUUGGAUGAACCUAGGUGGGAUUAGCUAGUUGGUGAGGUAAUGGCUCACCAAGGCGACGAUCCCUAGCUGUUCUGAGAGGAUGAUCAGCCACACUGGGACUGAGACACGGCCCAGACUCCUACGGGAGGCAGCAGUGGGGAAUAUUGCACAAUGGGGGAAACCCUGAUGCAGCCAUGCCGCGUGUGUGAAGAAGGCCUUCGGGUUGUAAAGCACUUUCAGUAGGGAGGAAAGGGUGAGUCUUAAUACGGCUCAUCUGUGACGUUACCUACAGAAGAAGGACCGGCUAACUCCGUGCCAGCAGCCGCGGUAAUACGGAGGGUCCGAGCGUUAAUCGGAAUUACUGGGCGUAAAGCGUGCGCAGGCGGUUUGUUAAGCGAGAUGUGAAAGCCCUGGGCUCAACCUAGGAAUAGCAUUUCGAACUGGCGAACUAGAGUCUUGUAGAGGGGGGUAG